AUUUUAGUAUAAGUAUGUCCCAUGUAGUAUUUAGGACAUACUUACAUUACAA
rnacentral:pre_miRNA from 1 species